rnacentral:rRNA from 1 species
AUGGAAAAGAGGGUCCUCGAUGACAUAGCAGAAAUCUGGGAAAGCAGACAAGAUUCAAAACAGAGUGACAGAGUAAUAUUAGGCCCAAACUUUGCAGAGAUAUUCAUUCCAAUGGAGAAGCAUGACCGCUAUGUACUAUAUGUGCUGGACAAAUACAAACACAAAGUUCACAUUAUUGAUCCUCGAGAAACGACUCCAGAGGAAUUUGAGAAAGAAAAGAUAGACAUGGAUAAAUUGGAUCCAAAAGAAGCAUCUCGAGUUCUUCAGGAAAAUGAAGAUGCUAAAAAAGAAAGAGAAAGACAGUUUCAGGAAUAUCAUGUUCAUAAGUCGGCAAUCGUACCUAGGUUUAAAGAAGUCUUCAACACCAUACUUGAACAAACAAUGAAUCCAAACAAAACAAGAUGA